rnacentral:rRNA from 1 species
GACGAACGCUGGCGGCGUGCUUAACACAUGCAAGUCGAACGGAAAGGCCCUGCUUUUGUGGGGUGCUCGAGUGGCGAACGGGUGAGUAACACGUGAGUAACCUGCCCUUGACUUUGGGAUAACUUCAGGAAACUGGGGCUAAUACCGGAUAGGAUCUCCUGCUGCAUGGUGGGGGUUGGAAAGUUUCGGCGGUUGGGGAUGGACUCGCGGCUUAUCCGCUUGUUGGUGGGGUAGUGGCUUACGAAGGCUGUGACGGGUAGCCGGCCUGGGAGGGGUACCGGGCACAAUGGGACUAAGAGACGGACCAGAAGCCUACGGGAGGCAGCAGGGGGGAAUAUUGCACAAUGGGCGGAAGUCUGAUGCAGCGACGCCGCGUGCGGGAUGACGGCCUUCGGGGUGUAAACCGCUGUCGCCUGUGACGAAGCGUGAGUGACGGUAAUGGGUAAAGAAGCACCGGCUAACUACGUG